rnacentral:lncRNA from 1 species
UUUCAGUCUUGGCUUUUCAACUUCUGGGUUCUUCUUGAGAUCUCUCUUUCUUGUUCUUUGAGAGACCUUUCUUUUUCUUCUAUUUUUAAUUUCUGUUUCUUGUGAUCUUACAUGAGAUCUUGGUUAAACUGGAAGAACCUUAUACAAUAUAUCUUGCUAAAGUAAUUUGGCCAAUUGUAAGGCCUAUGUUGUGUAUAUUUUGAUUAGACAAUAGGGGCCUUGGUUUAUUGGUGAUUAAUGUUUGAUUUUGUGAGAUCCUUUGGAUCAAUGAUCGGAUCCAGUGUCCGAGUGUGGUCUCUGUCUCUUAGAAGGUUAUUUUCCACAUAAUAAAAGGGCCAACCACAGAGCCCCCAGGUUAGGCAUUUUUCGUCGAACUGGGUGAACAAUUGUUUGUGUUCUUUACUAUUUUUGUGCGUGAUUGAUUGUUUAUUCUCACACGAACAAUGAAACAAACUGGUAAAUCCUUACAAAUAUGGUAUCAGAGCUAUUCAGACUUCGAGUCACGAUUUCCUGUCAGAGAAUCAUCUUCUUAAUCCACCUUAAUUCAUAUUUUUAUAUACAUUGAAUUUUUUUUGGAAAUUAUUACCGAUCGAUUUUCUGAUAAGUACAGUGCCUGAAAGCCAUAACUGGUGAUCUUGGUGUCUUGGGCUCGAAUGGGUUUCUUGGUAGGUGGUCUAAGUAUUUGAAUUUUAAUAAGCCAACCGUGCAAUGGGUGAGAUUGUUCUAAUUUUGACUUUACUCAUAAUAACUAAAAAGCAUGCAUUUGUUUGUUCUUAAAGAUUGGGUGACACUAGUUGAUAAAUUUUUAAGAACAAUUUCAUUCUUGUAUGUGAUAUCUGUAUGAGAUGGUAUUGAGGCAUGUUUUAAGUUGGUAAUCUCAAUAUAUUGUAUUAUGUGAUCUUGAGAUUAAUUACUUGUUGACUUUGCUAUGAUAGCUUGGAUACUCUUGUUGAUACUAUAUUGUAAUUCUUAAGUCAGUUUACCUUUUAAUUGUUGCAAAGUUUUUUCAAAACCUUUCCUGCACUUAAGUGAUCAACUAUUAAGAAUCACUUAUGUCCACAAGUAAUCACCACCCUUUUACUGAACCUAUAAUGGAUUUGAAGUUCGAGUUGUCUCAAUUCGAUGGAAAAUAAUACUCGAUAUUGAAGCAGAAAAUUAGGGCUAUAUUGGUCCAACAAAGGUUUACUAAAGCCCUAGAUGAUCCUAAAAUUUUUUUUGCUAAAUUAAAGGCUAGACCUGAUGAAAUUCUAGAAAUGAAUGAAAUUGUUUAUAGCUCAAUUAUCUAGCAUUUAUCUGACAACAUUAUAAGACAAGUUGAAGAUUCUAAAACACAUAGAUCCUUAUGGACAGCACUUGAUGCACUGUUCUUGAUUAAGACAUUGCCAAACAAAAUCUAUUUGCUGGAGAAAUUAUUCACUUUUAAGAUGGACAUUGGGAAAGACCUAGAAACAAACUUGAGUGAUUUUAGUAUUUUAGUUAAGAGUCUUGCACACAAUGACAAGAAAUUCUAUGAUGAAGACCUUGCAGUUAUACUAUUCAACUCACUGCCUGAAUCUUAUAAGGAUAUAAAAAAUGCCGUAAAAUACUCAAGAGAUGCUCUAACUCAAACUACAGUAACAAAUGCUUUAAUAGCUAGAGAACUAAAGGCCAAGAAAGAAACUAUAUCUUAUACAAGAGAAGAUGGCAUGUUUGUUAGAGGGAGAACAGAAAAGAAAGAAAAUGAUACCUAGAAUAGAAAAUUUAAAUUUAAAUCCAGAGGUAGAUCCAAAUCCAGGGAUAAGUGUAUUAAAGAGUGUUAUCACUGUGAAAAACUUGGGCACUUUAAGAGACUAUUUUGAAGUGCAAAGGAAACACAAAUACCAAAGCAUUGUUGACCUGACCAAUGUUACUAUCAGUCGUGAUCUGGAUAGUCUUCUUGUAAUGUUUGUGUCCGAUGAUGAUAGUAACAAGGAUUGGAUCUUAGACUCAAGAUGCACAUUUCACAUGAGUCCUAAUAGAUCUUGGUUCUACAAUUACAAAUCAAUUGAAUCCAAGAAAGUGUACAUGGGAGAUGACAAUUCCCAAAUAGUACGGGGAAUUGGUGACAUUGCUAUUAAAAUGCAUGAUGACAUUGUGAGACAAAUCAAGAAUGUUAGGCAUGUCCCAAACCUAAAAAGAAACCUUAUUGCAUUAGGGAUUCUUGAAGAUGAAGGGUAUACAUUUAAAUGUGAUAAUAACAUACUAAAAGUGAUGAAGGGAUUACUUGUUAUGUUGAAAGGACCCAAGAAGAAUGGGCUAUAUUAUCUUCCUAGAGAAACCAUAACCACUCAAGAUAAUAGCUCUUUAACUGUAAUUGAAAUUAAGUCUGAAUUUUGUCGUAAUAGAUUAGGACAUACUGGCAAUAAGGGCCUAAAAUAUCUAAGUAAUAAAAAGUUACCUGGGAAAGAUAUAAUUGAGCCCCAUCAAUUUUUUGAGACUUGUGUAUUAGGUAAGUCCCAUAAGGUGAGUUUUAAUAUAGGGUCUCAUACCACUAAUAGACCUUUGGAUUAUGUUCAUUCUGACGUGCGGGGACUUGACAGUCACCUCACCUUUGGGGGGAACAGAUACUUUCUGUCCAUCAUUGAUGACUCUUCCAAGAAAGUCUAGGUUUACUCUUUGAGGGCCAAAUCUGAAACUUUCCAGAAAUUCAAAACUUGGCUUAAAAUUAUAGAGAAUCAGUUGAAUAAGAAACUGAAAACACUAAGGAUUGAUAAUAGAUUGGAGUUCUAUAAUUCUAAAUUUGAGAACCUCUGUAAACAAAAAGGGGUGUCUGAUGCAGGAGGAUCCAAGUCAAGUGAUGCUGAUUUGUCAGAUUGCACGAUGAUGGCGCUGAGAUACCAUGAGAUGGCGGAUCGGCGCAAAGAUGGAAAGUAAAAUCCCCAUUAGCCUUUUGGAAAGUAAAAUCACCAUUAUUUCCUUAAUUUGGAGAUUUUGACGCGUUUUUGGUAAUUUGGCCAUAACUUUGGCUACGAUUAUCGGAAUCGCUAUUAUGACCCCAAUUCGGAAAGCUCUCUUCGGCGCGCACGUCGUGGCCACCAAGUUUUGCUCGGUGGACGUCAAUUUCAAGCCCAAAAUCCACUGUUUUCCUUUCCAAAAUUCAAUUUUAAGUUAUUUUUUACUAUUUAUGGUAAUAUUUAGUUUCCUUUUUUCUUUAUGUUAGAGAACUCGAAUUAAGCCAAAUUUUUGGCAACUUACUUCUUUUACUUAAUAUUUUAUUUUGGUAUAAUUUUGGAAUUUUGCCAUUUUUGGUAAUUUUUCAAUAAUUUCGUAUUUCGCAGCUAUUUAACCCGACUUGUGGGUUUGUUUUUAGCAUUCUGCAUUAUUAAUAAUAUUGAGUUGAAUUCAGAGUAUUUUCUCUGUUUUUUGGGCGUUUUCUAUAGUUCUUUUCUUGCGAAUCAUCUGCUACAACAAGCCAAUAGGAUAAUCACUAUCCUACCCGGCGUCAGUGUCAGACAUAGGAUUGUUAGAAACGCACCCCAACAAAAUGGGUUAGCUGAAAGAAUGAACAGAAACUCAUGAACAAAGUCAGAUGCCUUCUUAUCAGCUUAGGGCUUGUAAAAGGGUUCUGGUUCUGAGCUGAGGCUAUUUGAACAGCUACAUACCUCAUAAGUAGGUCCCCUAGCAGAUUUGUUGGCUUUAAAAUACCUCAAGAAUUAUAGACUAUAAAACCACCUGACCUAUCAAAUAUUAGAGUUUUUGGAUCCUAGGGCAACAAAGUGUGUUUUCCUGGGAAUAUCCUGAAGGGGUAAAGAGUUACAAACUAUGUGUCUUGGAAAAGGCAUAAAAAUAAUCAACAGUAGGAAUAUUUUGUUCAAUGAAUCUGAAAUGCCAUGUUUAAAAAAUAAGACUGAAAAAGAUGUUGAGCGAAAUGAAAGAAACAUUCCUUCUAAUGAAGUUAAGUUGGCCAGGUUCAUUAACUCAUUACCUAAUGAAAAUGAACCUGCUACACAAGAAACUCCAGAGAGGAUUGGGGAGCCUGAUGAAGGUGAAGGUAGUUUCCUUAACAUAGAAACUGAACUUGAGAUUGCACCACUCCUAACAAUUCUAACACUGAACUUAUUAAUUAAGGCUACUAACUUGUGAGAGAUAGGGAAAGAAGGCAAGUGAAGCCUAACCCUAGGUAUGAAAUUGACAAUUUGAUUGAUUUUGCCUUAACAUCUGAUGAAGCAUGAGAGAAUUGAGAACUUUUUACCGUUGAGGAAGCUAUGAAUUGCCCAAAUGCUGCAAAUGGGAAAAUUGCAAUGAGGGAAGAAAUGAAAUCCAUAACUAAAAAUAAAACAUGGAAUUGGUAAAAAAAAAAAAAAAAGGGCCUAAUAGUCGUAGAAUUGUUCGUUGUAAGUGGAUUUACAAGUUAAAGGAAAGAAAUAACUCAUCAGACCCCAUAAGGUAUAAAGUCAGGCUGGUUACCAAAAGCUUUACCCAGAGAGAACUUGUCCCUGUUCUACUUCUUUCGAUUCUCUAUUGUAUCUUCAGUCUCGAUCUUGUCUUGUAUCAAACUUAUCGACUGAUGGUAAGGGGCUAGAUUCUUGUUACAGACAUCUCAAAAGGAGGGAUUCUCCAUCAGUAAUCCUUUCCACGAGGCAUCUCGAGCCUUCUCGUUCGGUAUUGUUUCAUAAGCAAUCAGUUCAACACUAAAAUGCGUAAAGUAGCUCUUGAAUGACUAGUCUUCCUCCUAACGCUUUCCACUGACCUAGUAGCUGACGUUUAUCCUAUCCUAUUUUGUACAAAUGCCCUAGGAAAGCUUGUUUUAACUACGACCAACUUCGGAUCAAACCUAGAGGUAACUUGCUAUACCACCGCUUGGAAGAUCGUUCGAAGUAAGAUGGAAACCUUAAGAAUAGGACUAACUUUCUCCAAUCGACACACAAAUGGAACAUAUGAUCUUCUUUGUCAAGGUACUUAUCCAUAACCGAACGAUUUAAAUUUUCUCGGGAUUGCUUUCUCCUUGAUCUCUCUUGAGAAUGGUAGAUGUUCAUCAUCGUCUUUUGUUUCUACGACCUUAUAGGUCGACCUUCAUAUACCUCAUCCAGAGAAGUGCUAUAAGAGAUAUUGAAUAGACUUUCAACCUCCAACCUUUUGAACGACUAUUCAUAUUAUCCUGUUAGAUAACCUCCUCUGGAAACCUUUCCUUGGCAGAACUAUUUCUGCUCUAUCAUUUGCAUUGAUUUUCGGGUGUACUGUCCUAGGUUUUUUAUGCAUGCACGCUGCUGUUAUCAUUACAGAAUGCACUGUCAGCUGGAAUAUUUUCAUUUUCUUCAAUUUUACCCUACACUUGUAUUCUCUUUCUUCGCCCGUAGAGAAACAUUCUCUGCAAUAAACGCUUUCAAACUUAGCCAUAUCCUUAAUGGUUUUGGCAGUAGAGAUUUUCUUAUGCAAGAGAGAUGCCAACUUACACUUUCGCAUGAGUUUUUUCUUUCUGUCUAUUAAUAUUAGCGUCAUAACCAGUGGAAAGUCACUGGAACCGUUGUCUUCCACUUUUAACAGUUUUAUUUUCUCUCAUUUCUCCUCAAUUUGACUCACAAUUUCAGAUAUCAAGAGUUUUAACUUUCAGAUAUAAUAAGAUUUCAUGGUCUACUUUAUGCAAGUUUUUUCACAAAUAAUGCCAAUUUGUUAACAAUAGAAAUCUGAUCAACAAAUCCUACUCACCCAUCUAUGAUUAUUACUUCCUAAACUCCCUAGUUUUGAUGCUCAAAAUAAGGCAAGAAGAGAAAUUGUUAUUUGAGAGUGAGAUAUUUGAAUUACAUGCUCUUCAAAUGAGGGGGUAUUUAUAUAUUUUCCUCCAAGGUUUGACAUUUUAAGAUAAUGAUAGAUGGCGGCUCUAUAAUUGCUCUAUAAUAAUUAAUUCUGUUAAUAGUCACGCUUUAUUCAUUAGCUCACGUAUUUUUUAUUGAUAGCUUGUAACCAGCCUAUAUUAGAAAUAUGGUUUGUAGGCUUUGUGCGAGCCUCUUGUAUUUCAUUCAUCUUGCUUGCAUGUUACACUUUGUAAGUUGUUGGCUGGGUUCAUAAAUUGCAUUUUGAGGGUCAACGUGUGGGCCACCAUCAAUAUGAAUUUUCUGGACAACAAAAUAUUAAUGACAUUGGUAACUAAUUGGGAAUUUGGAAACUAUAGCAAAGUAAAUAAAACAAUUGUGGUGGGUAUAAAGACGAUUCACAAUUUAAAUUGAGGCACAAGCUAGUAAUGUGCUUGCAUAUGUGGGUCCAUUUUUCAUGGAUUGAUCGGAUUCGAAAAUUUUCGGCUAUGCUGACGGAAUCAUAUUUCUAUUUGGAUUGUUGUUGUUAAAUCCUCCGAGAUUGUUUGGAUUGAAGAUUUAGAUUAAAUAUUGAGCUAGGAUCCAAUUAGUUUUUAAUUUUUAAUUCUUAAGUUGUUUCUUGCCACAAAUAAUUGUUAAUUUAUCGCUUUAUGAAUGCUUUAAUUUAUAUUUGAAACAUUUAUCAUUCUAGAUAUCAUGAUAUAUAGAUUUAUUUGUGAUAUCGCACGUAAUACUAUAAAGAGC